AAGUCCAGAAUCCUACUACGUCCUCUGUACGCUUAUAAUUGACUCAACAGGUCACAUGGUUGGAAACCAGAGGCUACAGGCGGGACUUUACCGAGUGUGAGAGAGACUGUUCGAGCUGACAACCAUGGACUUCAUGACAGAUCGUGAUGUGGAAAAGUACAUGGCGGACGGCUACGUGGUCCUGGACGGGCUCCUGACCUCGCAGGAGUGUGACGAGCUGAGGCAGAGGAUGGCAGAGAUCGUGGAGCAGAUGGACGUCCCGGAGCACUGCCGCACCACCUUCUCCACCCAUCCAGACGAGCAGCUGAACAAACAGGGAAAUGCUGACUAUUUCAUCACCAGUGGCGAUAAGAUCCGCUUUUUCUUUGAGGAGGGAGUUUUUGAUGACAAAGGAGAAUUCAUCAUACCAAAACAGCGAUCCCUGAAUAAAGUUGGUCAUGCACUACAUGCCUAUGAGCCAUUGUACAAAAAGGCUACACAUUCACCCAAAGUUCAGGGCAUUGCCAAGAAGCUGGGUCUUCUAAGUCCUGUGAUACUACAAAGCAUGUACAUUUUUAAGCAACCAGGAAUAGGUGGGGAAGUCAGACCUCAUCAAGACGCCACAUUCUUGUACACGGAGCCCCUGGGCAGAGUGAUGGGGGUGUGGAUCGCCCUGGAAGACGCCACCUUGAACAACGGUUGUCUGUGGUUUAUCCCAGGGUCACAAAACAGUGGUAUUACCCAGCGUAUGGUGCGUGCACCAGAGGGCACCUUUCCCCUGACAGACUUCAUUGGCAAAGAGAAGACCUAUGACGAACAGAAGUUUAUCGCCGUGCCGGUUAAAAAAGGUUGUUUGCGUGGGUCCCAACCCGUCCAUCAACCUGUCUGUGUUCAGGUAGUGUGGUCCUGAUCCACGGGCAGGUGGUGCAUCGCAGCGCUGAGAACAACUCGGAAGACUCUCGCCACGUCUACACGUUCCACAUCAUGGAAUCCCAGGACACCCGCUGGAGCCCUGACAACUGGUUGCAGCCCACUGAAGAGCUCCCUUUCCCACCUCUCUACACUAAAUGAAGGAAAACGUUGUCAUCUGCUGCAAAGAGACACAAGAUCCUCUAUUUCCUGUAGAAACUGACCCAACUGUUUUAACCAGAGAAAAUGUUUUUUUUGUAAUCUUACAUGACACCAUCUGUUGUUCUGAGCUACAUGUAGACUAGUAUGUGGUUGAUCCAGAAUUACUUCAACACAAAAAGUGGAAUAAUGGCGACUAACUAUUUUUUCUUGAAUGUAUCAGUGAUGUAAUGUGAUUUUUUUAACAAACUAAAAGAUUAAUUUGAAUUGGAUGAUUUCAAACUUUUUGACCGACUUUUCAUGAACACUUAACAAUACAAGUGAUAUCUAGAUCUACUUUUAUUCGUCUCCUCAUCAACAUCGUCACCAACCAGCAUUAUUCUUGUCAUUUUUUAUUUUAUCACAUUCAUGUCAGAACAAAAUGGCAGAUUCCUAUUUUUACAGACAAACUGAGCAUUUCUGUUUUCAAGUAUGUUGAUUCUUAGACGCAACUUAAUUGGAAAAACAACUUAAUUUUAUGUAUGGAUGAUUCUAAACAACAACAUCUUCAUCGAUUUCAAAAAUCAAACUGAGAAAGCAAAGGGGCUGACGUUGACGUCGUCAAAGUGGGACCACUUCAGGUUCCUCUUCUCAAUCCUCAAAGGAGCAUUUAACAAAUGGACUAAACACUGGAGGCAUAUCAGUUUUUAUCGUUCUCCCCGGAUGCACUCAACAUGCAAUUUUACCCUUUAUUUAUUUUAAAUGUAGGGACGAUGGUAAAAACAACAUACUAGUAGGAUCAUGCUAAUAAACCCUCAUCACAACGUAAAAAAACACCAAAGAACUUUCACAGAUUAAAGUAGACGAAAGGCUGGAAAUGUAUCCAUCCUGAAAACACCUUCUAGGUUGUGAAAUUAUUUAAUUUCGGUGAAUUAAAUAUUAAAUAAAAACUUGGCCCACAGCAAAUCUACAGAUUCCAAAAAUACGCGGUGUAUGAAGGCUCAGUAGUAUCACAAGGAAAUGUAUAUAUAAAGUUUACCUUUGAGGGGUCCCAUCAAACCACAGAAAUAUUUAGCAAAGCAAAUGUACCAAAUAAAACAAAAAUACUGUAGUAUACCUCUGUACAUGUUGGUAACAGUAACUGGAUUUCACAUUGGUGUCAUGCAGGAGCAUAGUGAAUUUUCUGCCAUAUCGAAGUAUAAACCAGCCCUUGUAAAGAAGAGUGGAGCCAUGCUUUCGCCUACUGUACAGCAUCUACAAUAGAAGGUAAUGUGUGAUAGAAAAUUUACUUCUUAAGGCAAAUGUUUUCAUCAGAAAGUCCUUCAUCGUAUUGCCAUCGGCCAUCGGCGAAAUAAUAUUCCAAUGAUGGAAAAGACGUUGAUUUAAGAAAAAGACAUAUCAACAAGCUAACUUUAAAUAAUGUUCUUCGAAGGCAAUACAAAGGCAUGUAUCCGUUUGUAGGAAAGGGAUAAGACGACCUCCUCUUCAAUGAUCUAAAUGUGCCUUCUAGCAGCAUCUGCAAUGUCCAGAAUUCAAUAGACUUCUUUUUUAUCCACAAAUUUGUUAGCCUGAAUCUCCUUUGCAUAAAUCAGUUGAGUUGAAAUUGUUUGAGAUGGUGACACAGAAUAAAAAUAUUGAGCAUC